rnacentral:tRNA from 1 species
GGGGGUAUAGCUCAGUUGGUAGAGCACUUGUAUGGCAUACAAGAGGCCAGCGGUUCGAACCCGCUUACCUCCACCA